UGCCAGCCGGUGCAUGGAGAGAGUGCGAGUAGUUCUGAGGGUGAAAGACAUGGGUAGUGAGACGCUUUGUUCUGGCCGUAUCACUAUUCUGUUUUUCGCCCUUUGAAUCUACGCAAUAUGCA
rnacentral:pre_miRNA from 1 species